UGGCUGUGUGAGUUCGAGGCAAACCUGGUCAAUACAGGGAAUCCAGACUAGCCAGGGCUACGCAGUUCGUCUCAAACAAGAUUUUGUCUGAACAAACCAACCAAGGCAGAGGUGGGAUGGGAGAACGGAGACCUUGACAUCCAACACAGAUGUGACCUGCUCCUACAUCACACUCUCCAGUGCUUGGAAACCCGAGUGGUCUUACCGGGUUUGUUUUGUGGGGGAGACUAGGGCUAGAGCCCGGGUCAUCCCAGGGACUGGGACUAAUGAGCACAGUGAGUGUGGUCCACCCCUCUGGCAGUCCCACUGGAGAUUCCUGAAGUGACUUUGCCCUGCACCAGCCCCCGUGUCUAGAGGGUUGUUGUGGUCUCAGAGGCCAACCUUCCCACACUGGGUCAGCCUUAAUAUGCUUCGUGUGCGUGCACCCUUACCCGGAUCUCCGGGUCAGAUGAUCUCUGAUCAUCUGUGAAGCAGGGCAUGGUGAGGGUCUGGGUGGGAGGUCCGGCAUGCCCCCGGAAAAGGAAGCUGGACAGCAUCUGUCCCAACAGCUACUCACAAACCCACGAGUGUGAGGGCGGGUAGAGUAAGGUGCCACUAGGAGUUGCCCCUGGAAGCACCUAUCCCUGCUCACACCCACCAUGGGGCUUUCGGAGGCCUCUACGUGCUUGUGUUGGGUGGAAAGAACUGGUAAUUGAUGAUUUAGCCCGAGUUUUCACCACUGGGAUCCGAAUGGGGCUCCUGCCACGUUCCCCCUGGCCUCUGGGUCUGGUGUAUGGGGCCGGGGCGGGAGUCUCCCCCUGAAGUUGAGCAUUCCCCACCCUACCUCCUGCAGCCUGUGAGCAGCGCUCUCUAGAGGAGAACUCUUCCAGGCGGGAGAUCCCCUGCGGCUCCCGGCUGGGGGCCUGCCAGCCUGGUAAUUGGUGCAUCGAUUCGCAGCUGGGGUGUAAGGCUCUCGGAUGGGGGCGGGAGUCUCGGGCAAGCCCUGGGGAGACAUUGCCGGAGGGAGGCGGGGAAACCGGUGAUGCCAGGUUAGGGAGGGCCUCCUUGCCUCGCUGAGCCACAGAGAAGGCAUACGGGUAGGAUCCCUGGGGUGGCCAGGGCCGCCCGGGCCCCCUUGGGCCCCUGGAAGAAUUGGUUCCCACCAGCCAACCUGUUCCCACAGCCAGAAGUUGCCAUGGUGACCCCCUCCCACCUUCAGCUACAGCUUUUCCAGUAAAACCACUGCCGAGAUCCAUACUUCCCGACAGGCACGCCUGCGGCCCCCACCCCCCUCGUGGCAGCCGGGAGCAGCUGGGAGUUAACCCUGCAUAUGCCGGGGACUGUUGUUUGGGGGAAAAGGGGAGCGGGAGCCAGUAGUGGGGCCAUGGGUAGGAGCGAAGGUGGACAGGGAAAUGAUCCUGGCCAGCGACUUGAGCAAGUCUGGAACUUGGAGCAGGGAAACCAAGCUGGCCUUGGCUUAGCCAAGCCCCCUGGGCCUCAGGGAGCCCUUGCUGGGGCCCACUGGCAGCCAUACUCCAGUCUCGGCACAAAUUCUCUUUCUGGAGGCAGAAAGGUCCCUCCAGCCUGGAGUUUGGCUUUGCAAGUCAGCCUCCUGUGGGCUGUGGAACCCCAGAGGUCCCAGCUGUGUCCUGCCUUGAGAAGUCCAGAGAAUGACCCCCUGCUUACACGUUUACGGUCUGAGGAAGAAGAUGGUGCUUCUGAAAGGCACUACCCUGCUUGGGCCCCAGGGACCCAUGGUCAGGCCUCUAUCAGGGAAGGGGUCCUUGGGGACACUGAGGCUGCAGGCCCAGGGGGGCUCCAUCUGUGGCUCUGGCGGGCCUCACUCCCACUGUGAGCUGCUGCAGCUCUAAUUGUUCUCUGUAGCCGGAUGAGUAAUUGAGAGGUCUUUGAAGGGAAUUAAUUAGGCCGCUUAUUGACUGUAAAUGCUUGCUGUGGAUGAUAAAGGGGAGGCUGGCCGCCUGUGUGGGCCCGGCUGGGGCACAAUCAGACAUUUCAUUCACAUUCGGCUCCCUCUGGGGGUCAGCUGCUCAGCUUGGCAGGGACCUGACCCCCUUGUCUGUCCUGCCCCCUCCUUCAAGAAGGGACCAGGCAGGCUGAGCCCGGCUUAGUCUUUCCACCUCUACACCCCGCUUCUGGUAUUUGGAGGCAGCACUAACUAUCCCUUAAGUCUUCCCAAAGGUGAGCUGGGGUUCCCCGCAGGAGGAACCCUCCUGUCCCAUGUUGGGAGCCCUUCCCUAGAAUGUUGGGUUGAAGUCCAGAGGCAGGCUGGGGGCAGGUUCUCACCCUCAGCUCUCCGAGAGAGGUACCUGCACUGGGGACCUGCUGUGCUGGCCCUGGGCCCCAUCUGUCCAGCCCACUCCCCUGUCCCAACCCUUUUCUGGGAAGAGGGGAGAGACUGGAAACGGAGCACGCAUUCCCGCCCUCCUAGCUAGGGUCAGAGUGGAAACAGCCUUGUCGUUGGACAGUUAGUGAGGAGGGCAGGACAGUGCUGGGGUGGUGCCUGGCUGGCUUGCCCGGAAAGUGGAAGUGAUAGCCUGGACUGAGAAGUAGCCAUGGUAGCACCCCGUUCAUAUGGCCUCUGCUCCCGGCUGGCCGGUUCUAAGCCAGGUCCAUGCUGACUGACUUGCUGAUUUUGUUUUCCAGUAACUCUGUGCAGAUCUUUUUCGAAGAGCCAGCACUGUGGGAAUAUUGUAGUUUGCAGAGAUGCAGCAGCCUCUGGCUUGGUUAAAGACUGGUUGAAUGAGUGAGUGGAUGUGUUAAGCCCCCUUUUCAUGGAGCCAGAGGACCCAUAUCGUGAGGGAUCUGCCAGGACCAGGGAAUGGCAAUGUUGAUAUCUUGAGGUGAAGUACAGACUCAGCCACUGGGGGACAACACCCUGCCCUCUCCACUCCCCACCCCCCACCUCCCCACCUCUCACCCCCUCACUCCUCCCCUCCACUCCCCAUACCUGAGUGCCAGGCCCAGGAGUUAGCCCUUGAUUCUAGAGCCGCUAUAGUAUCACUGGAUCCUGCGAGACCUUGCAGAUCAGUUCAGGCCUCAAGUGUGGGCACCGGAGCUGGUGCAGAAGGAUGUCGAGUGUGACCUUGCUCCAGAUGGACAGGCCUUGACAGCCCUGAGAUAGCUGGAAGGGAAAAGGCUAUGGAACCAGGUGACUAGAUCUGAAGUUGGGGGACCAGGAGGAGACGGCAGCAGGUGUCCCCUCAGAAGCACAGGGACUUGGCUGUUGCCUUCAGGGAGCUAGGGUUGUAACGAUCCUGGCAGGAGGGACGAUAUUCUUUUGUUUGUUUUUAGACAGGGUUUCUCUGUGUAGCCCUGGCUGUCCUGGAACUUGCUCUGCAGACCAGGCUGGCCUCGAACUCAGAGAGACUGGCCUGCCUCUGCCUCCACCACCAUCUCUGCGUGCACCACCAAACCCCGGCCCAGGAGGGAGAUGCCCUAACAAGACUCUUGCAUCUCGCUUUGGCUGCUAGACUAUUAAGAAGAUGAACCCCAAGAAAUUGGAAUCUCGCCAGGAGUCUUGUGCUGGGAGAAGGGACCAGCCAGAGGGGAGCUUGUCUCCCAGGAAGAGAUUUCACACCAUUCUGGCAACUUGUUAGACCACCUACAGGAGAGAGAAGCUGGGACAAUGAUGAGCCAGUCCCCACCUUGACCAGGACUGCUCAGCUCUCCAUGUCUCUUGCCCUCUGUUUAAACAUAAAGCUCACUCACGCCAGGACCCUUAGAUGGACUCGGAGAUCACUGGACCUCUUUGUGUCUCUUGCUAAUGUGCCCACACUGAAUAAAUCUCCUUUCUCUGCUUUUCA